rnacentral:rRNA from 1 species
AAAUUGAAGAGUUUGAUCAUGGCUCAGAUUGAACGCUGGCGGCAGGCCUAACACAUGCAAGUCGAACGGUAACAGGAAUCAGCUUGCUGAUUUGCUGACGAGUGGCGGACGGGUGAGUAAUGUCUGGGAAACUGCCCGAUGGAGGGGGAUAACUACUGGAAACGGUAGCUAAUACCGCAUAACGUCGCAAGACCAAAGAGGGGGACCUUCGGGCCUCUUGCCAUCGGAUGUGCCCAGAUGGGAUUAGCUAGUAGGUG